rnacentral:lncRNA from 1 species
AGACAAAGUGGUUUGUGUUUUGAGACCCCUGCAUCUACCCGAACAAUCUAUGGAGACGCUGGCAUCCUGAAUGUGGCCAGAAGAUCCCUGUGUUUGCCACAGCACAACUCUUGGGGCGUACUUAGAGUAACUUGACACACAGUAUGGAAGAGGGUGACCACCAAGCUUCACCCUCUCCCCUUCCAGUCCUACACGGGGGUGGCAUUCACCACGAUUCUGCUCUAGGCAUCUUCCGUUCUACAAGAGUGACAGCUACCUCCACCCCCUCAUUUUCUCAGAGUCCUGGGCAGAGACUGGCACAGAGAUCCCUUAACACCAAG